UACGGAGGGAGCUAGCGUUGUUCGGAAUUACUGGGCGUAAAGCGCACGUAGGCGGCGAUUUAAGUCAGAGGUGAAAGCCCGGGGCUCAACCCCGGAACUGCCUUUGAGACUGGAUUGCUUGAAUCCUGGAGAGGUGAGUGGAAUUCCGAGUGUAGAGGUGAAAUUCGUAGAUAUUCGGAAGAACACCAGUGGCGAAGGCGGCUCACUGGGCAGGUAUUGACGCUGAGGUGCGAAAGCGUGGGGAGCAAACAGGGAUUAGAUACCCUGGUAGUCCACGCCGUAAACGAUGAUAACUAGCUGCCGGGGCACAUGGUGCUUCGGUGGCGCAGCUAACGCAUUAAGUUAUCCGCCUGGGGAGUACGGUCGCAAGAUUAAAACUCA
rnacentral:rRNA from 1 species